rnacentral:rRNA from 1 species
UACGGGGGGGGCAAGCGUUGUUCGGAAUUACUGGGCGUAAAGGGCUCGUAGGCGGCCAACUAAGUCGGAUGUGAAAUCCCCAGGCUCAACUUGGGAACUGCAUCCGAUACUGGAUGGCUUGAAUUCGGGAGAGGGAUGCAGAAUUCCAGGUGUAGCGGUGAAAUGCGUAGAUAUCUGGAGAAAUACCGGUGGCGAAGGCGGCAUCCUGGACCGACAUUGACGCUGAGGAGCGAAAGCUAGGGGAGCAAACGGG